AGGAUUCCCCUAGUAACGGCGAGUGAAGAGGGAAAAGCCCAGCACCGAAGCCUGCGCAGGUUUGCUGUUAGGCAAUGUGGUGUUUGGGUCGGCUCGUGGGACCACCACUCCACUCGAAGUCCAGCAUUGAGUAUGGUUACUGGAUUUGGCCCAGAGAGGGUGAAAGGCCCGUACGGUGGAGUAUCAGACAUGUGAGGUGGUUCACCAGGUCGACCUUAGAGUCGGGUUGUUUGGGAAUGCAGCCCAAAGUGGGUGGUAAACUCCAUCCAAGGCUAAAUACAAGCACGAGUCCGAUAGCGAACAAGUACCGUGAGGGAAAGUUGAAAAGUACUCUGAAGAGAGAGUAAACAGUACGUGAAACCGCAUGCAGGUAAACGGGUGGCGUCAAGCUGCAAGCCCGGAGAAUUCAGCCGGCUAGGUUGUUGUGUAUGCGCCUGGCGCAUCCAUCAGUCAGAGUAUGAUUGGGUAGUCCACUAGUAAACAGUGGGCCUGUCCGCAAGGUCAGGAUAUGUGUACCGGGUGGGUGCCGGAGCAUGCUAUCCGUCUGAGGACUGUCUAGCCGGUGCACUUUCUCCGUGGUCAACACCACGACCGGUGGUAUUGCCAGUCUGCUGUGUCCAAGUCGUAUUUGGUAGGUCCUUGCGGCCAACCGAGUGCGAUCACAGGCAAACUCAGUAAACGGCGUGAGGGUGUUUCGGCACUUUCAUGUGUUAUCGGCUACUGGUUGUCAACGGGCCUGCUCAGUGUUUGUUGUAACUGACACAGGGUGGUCCGGUGGGGCAUGGUGGUAAGAAUAACUGUGCAAGGCACCGGGGUUAUCGGCCUCAAAUGCGUCCUGCGUCCACGUUACAAGUGUAGGUACUGUGUUGCCGCUGCCUGCUCGGUGCUGGGUGUGAUUGGCGUGUUGCCUGCGCAAAGUAGGCCCGCUGAUGGCUCGGUUCGAGGUGGGUAGUUGGUGGCGUUGUAGACGGCGUGGGGCGUGGUGGGCCUAAUAGUCAGUGGUG
rnacentral:rRNA from 1 species